rnacentral:rRNA from 1 species
AGCGAACGCUGGCGGCAGGCCUAAUACAUGCAAGUCGAACGGCUCUUCGGAGCAGUGGCGGACGGGUGAGUAACACGUGGGAACGUGCCCUUUGGUACGGAACAACUGAGGGAAACUUCAGCUAAUACCGUAUGUGCCCCCAUUCUUAGCGGGAUGGGUGGGAAAGAUUUAUCGCCAUUGGAGCGGCCCGCGUUGGAUUAGCUAGUUGGUGGGGUAAAGGCCCACCAAGGCUACGAUCCAUAGCUGGCCUGGGAGGAUGAUCAGCCACACUGGGACUGAGACACGGCCCAGACUCCUACGGGAGGCAGCAGUAGGGAAUCUUGCGCAAUGGGCGAAAGCCUGACGCAGCCAUGCCGCGUGAAUGAUGAAGGUCUUAGGAUUGUAAAAUUCUUUCGCCGGGGAAGAUAAUGACGGUACCCGGAGAAGAAGCCCCGGCUAACUUCGUGCCAGCAGCCGCAGUAA